AGAUGAUGGCACAGUUCUUUGGAAGAAAAUAUAUUCGCGCAUUUGUCAGUGGGUUUUUUGUGGCAAUGCCAGUGACUGUGACUUUCCUUGAUCGUGUUGCUUACAUAGCAAGGGUGGAAGGCGUUUCAAUGCAGAUAUGGGUCACUGGCAGUAGGAUGAUUUUGGGAGGCUGAAGAGAUGCUGUGACCUUCUGCACUGGCUCUGAAGAUCUAAGCGAUGUUGGAGCAGUGACUGCAUCACCUUUUGUCAGUUUCUCUUAUUUCUUGAGGGCUGUGAAGGGCAAUUAUUUUGCAACCUGUGGUCAUCCUGUAUGAUGGGUGUGGGGUAUGAUGCCCUAGAUGUAUUAAUGUAGGUUGUGGAAUGGGGUAUAUUCCUGUUGACCCUGGGCCCUGGUUUCUGGGGCUUGAAUCAAGUGCUCCUCUCUCCAGUUUCUUAGUUACAUAUAUGUAAACAACUAUGGGCUCUUGUUCCUCAGCCUAGAAUAUGUAGAUAACUAUAUCGCUAAUGUCCAGCACUAAUUUGCUGACUAUGGGUAUUCACUGCUCCAGCACGUGUGUUCAUCAGCCUGAAGCGCCGUGGUCUCUCUGGCAGCGGUCAUGUGACCGCUGGGGGGGUAGCCCAUGUGACGCGGUGUGCACACUCAGUGAGCACCACUGAAUGCUGGCGCAUGUGCAGUGUGCUCCGCAUCUCAUUCUGUAAGUGUUGUAUUUUCUGCACAUAUGUCUUUAGUAUGGGUUACAUGAGGAUUGAUAGUACACUUGAUGCACUAAAAAAAAAGGAUAAAUGUUUACUGUGUACUUUUAUUCAAAAGAAGAUAGGGGAGAUUCAUCAAAACCUGUGCAGAAGAAAAGUUGCCCGUAGCAACCAGUCAGAUCGCUUCUUUCAUUUUGCAGAGGUAUUUUUAAAAAUGAAAGAAGCAAUCUGAUUGGUUACUAUGGGCAACUGGUCAAUUUUUCCUCUGGACAGGUUUUGAUCUCCCCAAUAUGAGUAUUUAACCCCUUAACGACUAGCGCCGUAAAUGUACGUCCUGGUGAGGUGGUACUUAAUGCACCAGGACGUACACGUCCUAAGCAUAACCGCGAGCAUCGGAGCGAUGCUCGGAUCGUGCAUGGCAGGUCCCGGCUGCUGAUCGCAGCCAGGGACCCGCCCAUAAUGGCGGACACCCGCGAUCCCGUGGAUGUCCGCCAUUAACCCCCCAGAUGCCGUGAUCAAUACAGAUCACAGCAUCUGCAGUGCUUCUGCGGCGAUCCGAUCAUCCAGCACUGCAGAUGGAGGUCCCCUCACCUGGCUCCGCUGCCUUCCCGGCAUCUUCUGCUCUGACCUGCCUUCCCGCAGACCAGAGCAGAAAAUGACCGAUAACCCUGAUCAGUGCUAUGUCCUAUACAUAGGACUGAACAGGAUUAGCAAUCGAGUGAUUGCUAUAAAUAGUCCCCUAUGGGGACUAUUAAAGUGUAAAAAUAAAAGUAAAAAAAGUUAAAAAAAAAUGUGAAAAUCCCCCUCCCCCCAAUAAAAACGUAAAUUGUCCCAUUUUCCCUAUUUCACCCCCAAAAAGUGUUAAAAAAAUAUUUUAUAUACAUAUUUGGUACCACCGCGUGCGUAAAUAUCUGAACUAUUAAAAUAAAAUGUUAAUAAUACCGUACUGUGAACCGUGUGCACGUAAAAAUAAAAAAAAGUCCAAAAUAGAUGCUUUUUUAUAACAUUUUAUUCCCCCAAAAAAUUAUAAAAAAUGGAUUAAAAGUUUUAUAUAAGCAAAUAUGGUAUCAAUAAAAAGUACAGAUCACGGCGCAAAAAAUGAGCCCUCAUACCACCGCUUAUACGGAAAAAUUUAAAAGUUAUGGGUCUUCAAAAUAGGGGGAUUUUAAACGUACUACGUACUAAUUUGGUUAAAAAGUUUGCAAUUUUUAUUUUUACAUUUUUUUAUUUUUAUUUUUUUUAAGCGCAACAGUAAUAGAAAAGUAUGUUAUCAUGGGUAUCAUUUUAAUCGUAUUGACCCAAAGAUUGAGAAACACAUGUCAUUUUUACCGUAAAUUGUAUUGCGUGAAAACGAAACCUUCCAAAACUAGCAAAAUUGCGGUUUUCUUUUUAAUUUCACCACACAAAUAGUAUUUUUUUUGUUGUGCCAUACAUUUUAUGGUAAAGUGAGUGAUGGCAUUACAACGGACAACUGGUCACGCAAAAAACAAACCCUCAUACUAGUCUGUGGAUGAAAAUAUAAUAGAGUUAUGAUUUUUUGAAGGGGAGGAGGAAAAAACUAAAAUUUUAAAAUUAAAUUGUCUGCGUCCUUAAGGCCAAAAUGGGCUGCGUCCUUAAGGGGUUAAAGGGGUAUUCCAGGGAAAAACUUUUUUUAUAUAUAUAUCAACUGGCUCCAGAAAGUUAAACAGAUUUGUAA